UCGGGCCCUGAGGCGCCGGGUUGGGGGGGCGCGACGGGACGGGACGGGACGGCAGCUCCCCUGCACCCGCAUCGCUGCCCCUUUUAUGGCGGUAACCCAGGUACCGACGGGGCUUGGGUAGCGGAGUGUACCCGCAGAGCCAGCCAAGCGCCCGUGGAGGACGCUGGAGCGGCCUGCCCUUCCCACCUGUGCCGGAGGAGCACCUCCACCGGCGGGGUUCGAUUUGUAAAGCGUUUAUGUCAACAAAGACGAGAGGCCUAACUGGAUAACGAGAUGGCAGCAAGUUCAUCCUUGACAGAGACACACUUGGACCAAAAGUGAUUGAUGUAUCUCACAAUAAGAAGGGAAGUAUGGCGUUACUCACCAAGGGCAUCAACCUAGGAGAGAGUCAUGAGACUUCCUGAUCAGCCUUAAUGAAUCAGUAAAUCAGUGAUUUGACACAAGGCGACGUCACCCAUCGCACCCGCUCUGCCUUUCUCUAGUAAAGCUGUCCCUCCAGAGCAGGAGCUUGUGGGGGGAAGGUGGCUUCCCAUCGAGAGGACAGCAGUCAUUGCCUCUGUUUUGUGCUUGGCACCCAGAUGCCAUUGCCGUUCUGAGCUGUGGUAAGACAGAGGUGGAAAGGUCAGUUGAUUUACACAGGCAGAUACCUGCAAACUUCAUACUUUCAGCCAGAAUUCCUAAGCCGUGUAGAGAUUGCUUAAAUCUCAGUCGUGUACGUGACAAAAUUCCAGUUUGUCAAAAUUGAAUUUUUUUAUGGGAAUGCAUUUUCAGUAGCUAAAGUUUUCUGUUCUGUGAUUCAGAAUGGCAUGUCUGGUCAGACCCAGAGCAGGAAAGUAGGAAUAGGUGAUGGCUAAAAUGCAUCAGAUCUGGAAAAUCUAAUUUCAGUUUUCAGUCCCACCUCAGGGACUUGGCUCAGGGUCUCACAGCCCAAUCCUGCACAACAGCAGGCAGAACACGCACUGUUUUCAAAUCCAGCUAAGGCCGAGAAAUACCUGUCCCACAGCGAUCAACAAUUCGCUGCUAGCCACACAUUUCAGCUGAAAGAUAACAUGUAUGCUGGGUGUGCUACACAUCCGCUAAUGGUAAAAAUCAAAACUUUACUCAACAGCCUUCAGUACACGUCAUCAAGUCCAUCUGGCAGUAGUUCAGGAGGAGGAGAAGUUAUGUUUCUAUCAGGUAUAGCCUGAGCAGUGUGAAACUAGAUUAUAUAUGAAGAGUUCCAUGUACACAACUGCUGUUUGUGGCCUGCUGAAUUUUGGGUACGUAAACCCAUGCAAAACUAAUGCAGUGUUGUUUUGGUAUGACAAUUACAAGUGUUCCAGCUUGGCUGGAGCAAAAAUCCAACUAGUCUGCUCUGCUGCCUGCUGUGGGAAGAAGCAGCUUAAGGGAAGACUACAAGAACAAGGGGAGGACAGAGCCUGUUUUUACACCCUCAUGACUUCUGCUGGCCUGUGGUGAGGGAUUUCACAAACAGAAAUUGCAUCAAAACUAUUCCAUUGAAAGUCUGCCUGUGUAUAAGUACAAAUAUUCCUGAUACACCUCACCUGUAAACUAAAAAUUAUCUUAAAACUUAUUUUAAAGUUGAUACUCUGACUGAUUUAAAGUGCUCUACCAACAGCUGUAAAGUAGAAAAUCUGUUUGUUUUUAAAGCACCCUUUGAACUUAAAGUAUAUCACAACAUUAUAGAGUUUUAUUUUUGAAUGAUUAUUAUUUUGCAGUGCCUACAUAAGAGCGGCUUACAAAUACACUUAAUAGUUUGAAGGACUUUUAGAUCACUCCAUGCAGCUCUUACACAGAAAUUCUCAGUAUGGUUAAGUCUGAACUCUUGCUUUUUAAGCGUAACAAAAAUUUUGAAAAAGCUUUUGUUUUUCUUCUUUUGCAAGGACAAGUACUUUUAAUACGCUGUUCAGAUGUGUUCAGUGAAUGAAUGUACAAGAGCCCAAGCUCACAGUUAUUUUUAUUUAGCAGGCAUAGAAGUUUCUUAAGGAAUUCUGAAAAUAGUUGCAAGUCUCUGGACUUGCUCGGCAUUUCAAGAAUAGUUAUUUCUGUCUCCCCUUGAAGACGUAUUUUAAAUUGACAGUCCCAUGACAAUGUGAACUGUUCAAUAUCUAGAAGUUAUGUCUACUGGGUUUUAAGUUAAAAAAUAAAUUAGGAAAAAAGAGUAAGUCUAAGACUGUCUCACGUUGCUUGUUUUUCUCUGAAGGGAUCAAAAAGUUUCCAGGUGCGUCCUUUUGAUCCUGGUAGUUUACUGACGGGCAGUUUAAAAAUGCUUUUAAUGUUUCUGCUGAGAUACUGUACCUCUGACAUCUGAAUUCCUCUGGGGGCUUUGUCCUUUUGUGCGAGGCCUCACGUCCUCCAUUUUUUGCAUGGAAAAGUCCUGUGGUUUUGCAAGGAAAAGUUCUGCUAUUGCAAGGCUUGACUUUGCAAGUCUAAGAAGAGUUUGACCUCCCGUUAACAUGUUCCUUUAUGAUAAAAUACAGAUGGCAGAAAUGUUGCAGCAACAAAAGGAAGCAGAAUUUAAGGACCCCGUACGUCAGGUUCUUAAAGCAGACUGAAAAAGCAAGUAUUACCAUACCCUAUUGAAAUCAUAAAGCCAAAUGUCUCAUCUAUCUCUGCAUUGAAGUAAAGUUUUGACACAGCUGCUUUUACUGCCAGUUACUGGAACGUGACCUCAUUUGCUUCCAUGCCCUUGUUCUUGUCAAAACUGUAAAACUAAAAGCUUUAAAAAAAAAGUUUUUCCGUUUCUGGCUUGUGCUUGGAUUCUAUUCUGCUUGCAUGCCUGAUGAGAUAUUGGGGCUUUAAUGUUCAGAUCAGUGUAUGUUUUAGGUGGUCUGGAUGAUAAUAGGCUUCAUCCACUGGACGUACCAUCAUAGUCUUUGUCUGACAGAAGCCUCGCAUCCCCUGCCGAACACAGGCAGAGAAAAGCUGGGCCCUUGGUGCUAAAGGCAGCAGCUGCAGCUUUAUGGGUGAUAGUUUAAUAGGAGUGCCCACUUGACAUCCCUGUCCAUGGGAACUGGAAUGCUGCGGGAUUGUGUCUCCAGCACUUGAAACACUGCUUGGCCGUUUGGGUCUGUACGGAAACAUAACAUCAUGCAGCUCUUGGAUGUCAGCGACUGAAAUAAUGAGCCAUUUGGCUCAGCGAUAACUGAAUAACUUCCGCAUCAAAAGGUUGUCACCGAAACAUGGGUGCAAACCUGUACGAGCACUGGCUACGCGUCUCCGCUCUCCCCUCUGCCUCGCUGGGCUGACUCAUCCGAGGGGGACCACAAAACCUAAUGGUGCAUCUUGACAGCAGGGGUGCAGACAGCACCAGCGGACAGCAAAGCUCUUCUGAAGCGCUUUGAUCCACCACGUGUGUGUUAAACCAAAAGCCGCGUCCCCGCUUUCCUCUCUCCCUGCAAUUGUACAUGCUGUGCUCAAGGGCUUUUCGCAUGUCCCAAAGCAGCGCUGCAGAAAGGUUCAUCAAAUGUCACGAAGCUUCUAUAUUUACUUGUCUGCACCAUGGCCUCCGAUAAAUCAUUCCCGGGUGGCAAACAAAUCCAGUUGUACUGUGCUCCGCCAGCGAUUUGCCCGCAUGUGUAAGCUGCAGGUUGAAGCCCUUGAGACCCAGGACUUUGUUUGAUGUGAGGAUAUGUCAUGUGCUUUAUUCUCUGGCAACAGAUUUUUCUUCAAAUACUAUGAUAUCGGAGUGUGGUUUUGUUACUUACUUCUGCAAGAAUAAGCUUGCCCUCUUCUUUUCCGAGGCUCUCAUUUGUUAUCAAGGGCAUAGCCCUACUCCCGUUUUAAUUAAAACAUUGAGUAAACAAUCCCACCUAUGAACAAAACUAGGAACUGUCCCCACUUCAGUGGUAAAAUCCCACUUAAAUCAGCAACAUCAGCUCUGUUCUCAGCAAGAAUAAGAUUAGGGGUUCCAAUAAAAUCGUUACUUUUAUAAAGAGCAAACCCUUUCUCUGCUCCUCUCCCAACCCCCAAAAAACCUCCCCAAAACAUUGUGACUAGCUUUGGUUUCCAUGCAGAGGCUGGAAAGACCCAACGGGCUGUGAUGACUAACCAGGUUCUUUACCAGUAAUGUGGUUCCACAGCUGUGCUGAAGUACUGCUCCGAAGUCGUCUCCUCUGAAGGAACAGGAGUCUUCGAGGUGUCAGCCACAAAUCUGCUUCCUAAGAGGACUACAUAUGAAAAGAUAUUAGAAAACAAAUACUAUAAUGUAUUGUACUAUUGAAAAUACUGUGAUCUCACCAGGAAGAAUAAUUUAUAAUGUGUAUAGAAUAAUUUAUAAUGUAUAUAGAAAAAGAAAAAAAAAUCAAAACAGAUGGAGCCCGCACAUCUGAUAAUAUUGUUAACAUAGGAACGAGGCAAACCCUGUGUUUUCCCAGUGGUUCCCAGCUAAGAUGUCCUUCUGCUAUCAGAUUUCUAAGUUUCUUACUCUAUUAAGGGUUCCUACUUGUAUUUAUUCCAGUGGCAUCAGUCUUUCUUUUGCCCUUCCUCCACAUUCAGCAAGAGUGGUGCCUCCAGCCAUAGGACUCACAGCCCUGCCCUCAGGUCACUGCUUCCUCAGUUUUAACGUAGCUGCAGCACAAGGCUUGUCCCCCCUUCCCUUCUCUUUCAGGGGUUUACGUAAAGGUGAACUUAGGUCACCAUACAUUAUUCACGUAGUAUGCAUGCAUUUUGUGUACCUAUCAAUAACUUAUAAAAGGAAGCACGGCUUCACUGUCGGUUGUCUUUUCAAUGCAACCAAGCCAGAAGAUUUGGUACACACUCAAGUUGUUCAUUCUUUUUUUUUUUUUUUGUCUGAAAAGCAGCAUCUCGCAUACUUUUGUGCUCCCUGCUGGUGGAGGUUUUCCCUUACCCACACGGUCUGCCUUGUGCAGCGAUUCCAGCUCACCUGUGUCAAGGGCAACCCACCCCCACCCCCCCCCAGGAGACAGAUCUCCAGCAAACCAAGCAGCAGAGCCAAGGCGUGGCGCAGGGAGCCGGCAGAAUAAGAGAUCAGCUGCCCGAUGGACGCUGUCGCCUAAACUCUUCUCCGGUCUGCGUGGCAUUCCCAGCUCCCUCUCCCUCCAUGCCUUCGAUUGCAGUGGAAACUACAAAAUAAAGUGACAAGAAAAGACAUCUGCUUUCUAUAUUUUAGUUCAGAGCAUCAGGGAAUUUGGGAAAGAGGCGAUGGGGUAGGGGUCAGGCCCAUUGCAUUUGAACUGUUGUGUAGGGAGGAUUUCAGAUAGGUGAGGUGGCUCACAGGACAGCCCGUGAUGCUGCUGUACAUAAUGUAUGGCAGUCCAAAGAAGUCUCAGCCCAAUUUUGCCAAGCAGUUAAAAAAAUAUAAUUGAAGGGAGUAACCAUCCUUCAUCAUCAGGGUCCUGCAAAAUUAAAGAGAAGGUAAAGGACGUGUGGUGGAAAGAUGCUCAUCAGGGGACAAAAUAGGAAUUGAAAAGCACAAACAAGUUUACUCUGCAAUAAAGCAAAGAUUGUUUUCCCAGCUCAAAUGCAUAAAAAUAUUUUCCAGUUACAUUUCAUUAAGACAUUUGUUGAUAUUGCAAGUGAAGUGAGAUGCAGAAUUAUGAACAUUUGAUGAUUCCUAGGAGAAAAAAAAAAAUGCUUGAACUGCAUGAUGUAAACAGCCAGAAGCCAGUGUUUUCCUAAAACUUUAUAAAAAUGCUUGUAUAUCAAAAAGACAACUGCAAAAAAAAUUAGUCUGUAAUUAAUAAAAGAAGUUUAA